rnacentral:rRNA from 1 species
UACGUAGGGAGCAAGCGUUGUCCGGAAUCAUUGGGCGUAAAGCGCGCGUAGGCGGCCCUGUAAGUCCGCUGUGAAAGUCAAAGGCUCAACCUUUGAAAGCCGGUGGAUACUGCAGGGCUAGAGUCCGGAAGAGGCGAGUGGAAUUCCUGGUGUAGCGGUGGAAUGCGCAGAUAUCAGGAGGAACACCGGUGGCGAAGGCGGGUCUCUGGACCAGUACUGACACUGAGGAGCGAAAGCAUGGGGAUCAAACAGG